rnacentral:rRNA from 1 species
AUUGAACGCUGGCGGCAUGCCUUACACAUGCAAGUCGAACGGUAACGGGCCUUCGGGUGCCGACGAGUGGCGAACGGGUGAGUAAUGCAUCGGAACGUACCUUUCAGUGGGGGAUAACGUAGCGAGAGUUACGCUAAUACCGCAUAUUCUGUGAGCAGGAAAGCAGGGGAUCGCAAGACCUUGCGCUGAUUGAGCGGCCGAUGUCAGAUUAGCUAGUUGGUGAGGUAAAGGCUCACCAAGGCGACGAUCUGUAGCGGGUCUGAGAGGAUGUUCCGCCAGACUUGAGCGGAGACACGGUUCAGACUCCUACGGGAGGCAGCAGUGGGGAAUUUUGGACAAUGGGGGCAACCCUGAUCCAGCCAUGCCGCGUGAGUGAAGAAGGCCUUCGGGUUGUAAAGCUCUUUCGGUCGGGAAGAAAUCGCAUGGGUUAAUACCCUGUGCGGAUGACGGUACCGGCAUAAGAAGCACCGGCUAACUACGUGCCAGCCGCCGCCGUAAAAC